GGUUCCAUAGUGUAGUGGUUAGCAUGGCUGCUUUACACACAGAGGUCCUGGGUUCACACCUCAAUGGAGCCA
rnacentral:tRNA from 1 species